rnacentral:lncRNA from 1 species
GGCGUCUGAGAAAAAAGUCCACGCGCCUCGCACCACUGCAAAAUUUGGCUCAGAUGUUCACAGCAGCGUGUGCUAUCCACGGACUGUGUUUUUCACGAAG